rnacentral:rRNA from 1 species
UUGAUCAUNGCUCANGAUGAACGCUAGCUACAGGCUUAACACAUGCAAGUCGAGGGGCAGCAUGAAAGUUUGCUUGCAAACUUUUGAUGGCGACCGGCGCACGGGUGAGUAACACGUAUCCAACCUGCCUCAUACUCGGGGAUAGCCUUUCGAAAGAAAGAUUAAUACCCGAUGUCAUAGUCCUACCGCAUGAUGGGAUUAUUAAAGAAUUUCGGUAUGGGAUGGGGAUGCGUUCCAUUAGUUAGUUGGCGGGGUAACGGCCCACCAAGACGACGAUGGAUAGGGGUUCUGAGAGGAAGGUCCCCCACAUUGGAACUGAGACACGGUCCAAACUCUACGGGAGGCAGCAGUGAGGAAUAUUGGUCAAUGGACGAGAGUCUGAACCAGCCAAGUAGCGUGAAGGAUGACUGCCCUAUGGGUUGUAAACUUCUUUUAUAUGGGAAUAAAAUGUUCCACGUGUGGGAUUUUGUAUGUACCAUAUGAAUAAGGAUCGGCUAACUCCGUGCCAGCAGCCGCGGUAAUACGGAGGAUCCGAGCGUCAUCCGGAUUUAUUGGGUUUAAAGGGAGCGUAGGUGGAUUGUUAAGUCAGUUGUGAAAGUUUGCGGCUCAACCGUAAAAUUGCAGUUGAAACUGGCAGUCUUGAGUACAGUAGAGGUGGGCGGAAUUCGUGGUGUAGCGGUGAAAUGCUUAGAUAUCACGAAGAACUCCGAUUGCGAAGGCAGCUCACUGGACUGCAACUGACACUGAGGCUCGAAAGUGUGGGUAUCAAACAGGAUUAGAUACCCUGGUAGUCCACACAGUAAACGAUGAAUACUCGCUGUUUGCGAUAUACAGCAAGCGGCCAAGCGAAAGCAUUAAGUAUUCCACCUGGGGAGUACGCCGGCAACGGUGAAACUCAAAGGAAUUGACGGGGGCCCGCACAAGCGGAGGAACAUGUGGUUUAAUUCGAUGAUACGCGAGGAACCUUACCCGGGCUUAAAUUGCACCUGAAUAAUGUGGAAACAUGUUAGCCGUAAGGCAGGUGUGAAGGUGCUGCAUGGUUGUCGUCAGCUCGUGCCGUGAGGUGUCGGCUUAAGUGCCAUAACGAGCGCAACCCUUAUCUUCAGUUACUAACAGGUCAUGCUGAGGACUCUGGAGAGACUGCCGUCGUAAGAUGUGAGGAAGGUGGGGAUGACGUCAAAUCAGCACGGCCCUUACGUCCGGGGCUACACACGUGUUACAAUGGGAGGUACAGAAGGCCGCUACCUGGCGACAGGAUGCCAAUCCCCAAAACCUCUCUCAGUUCGGAUCGAAGUCUGCAACCCGACUUCGUGAAGCUGGAUUCGCUAGUAAUCGCGCAUCAGCCAUGGCGCGGUGAAUACGUUCCCGGGCCUUGUACACACCGCCCGUCAAGCCAUGAAAGCCGGGGGUACCUGAAGUACGUAACCGCAAGAUCGUCCUAGGGUAAAACUGGUAAUUGGGGCUAAGUCGUAACAAGGUAGCCGUACCGGAAGGUGCGUNGUGAUCACC